rnacentral:rRNA from 1 species
AUGCUGUUACUUCUAAUAGUCCAGGGAGCCGCUUAUCUGGGAGCUCAACGCAUUUUCCUCGAGUCGGAUUGCCAGACAAUGGUUUCGGUGCUGAAGGGCCGCGACUAUGCUGCUGCUGAGCUUGGCGUUCUCUUCAGGGAAGCAAGGAGCUUAUGCCAUGCAUCUUUCGAAUCCUAUGAUUUCAAGUACUGUAAACAUGAUUGUAAUAUGGUAGCUCAUGCCUUGGCACAGUUUGGCCUGUCGGCUGAUGCGCCCUUCUCUGUCUGGGCUGUGGAUGCCCCUGAUUUUUUUCGGUCCUGGUGA